GAUGAAGAACGUAGCGAAAUGCGAUAAGUAGUGUGAAUUGCAGAAUUCAGUGAAUCAUCGAAUCUUUGAACGCACAUUGCGCCCCUUGGUAUUCCAUGGGGCAUGCCUGUUCGAGCGUCAUUUCAACCCUCAAGCCCCCGGGUUUGGUGUUGGGGAUCGGCUCUGCCCUUCCGGGCGGUGCCGCCCCCGAAAUACAUUGGCGGUCUCGCUGCAGCCUCCAUUGCGUAGUAGCUAACACCUCGCAACUGGAACGCGGCGCGGCCAUGCCGUAAAACCCCAACUUCUGAAUGUUGACCUCGGAUCAGGUAGGAAUACCCGCUGAACUUAAGCAUAUCAAUAAGCGGAGGA
rnacentral:misc_RNA from 1 species